rnacentral:rRNA from 1 species
AGAGUUUGAUCCUGGCUCAGGACGAACGCUGGCGGCGUGCCUAACACAUGCAAGCCGAACGGGGUGAGGCCCUUCGGGACCUUUACCUAGUGGCGAACGGGUGAGUAACGCGUGAGGAACCUGCCUUUCAGUGGGGGACAACAGUUGGAAACGACUGCUAAUACCGCAUGAAGCUUUUGGGAGACAUCUCCUGGAAGCCAAAGCUUAAUGUGCUGAAAGAUGGCCUCGCGUCUGAUCAGCUAGUUGGUGGGGUAACGGCCCACCAAGGCGACGAUCAGUAGCCGGUCUGAGAGGAUGAACGGCCACAUUGGGACUGAGAUACGGCCCAGACUCCUACGGGAGGCAGCAGUGGGGAAUAUUGGGCAAUGGCGAAAGCCUGACCCAGCAACGCCGCGUGAAGGAAGAAGGCCUUCGGGUUGUAAACUUCUUUUACCAGGGACGAAGGACGUGACGGUACCUGGAGAAAAAGCAACGGCUAACUACGUGCCAGCAGCCGCGGUAAUACGUAGGUUGCAAGCGUUGUCCGAAUUUACUGGGUGUAAAGGGCGUGUAGGCGGAGAUGCAAGUUAGGAGUGAAAUCUAUGGGCUCAACCCAUAAACUGCUUCUAAAACUGUAUCCCUUGAGUAUCGGAGAGGCAAGCGGAAUUCCUAGUGUAGCGGUGAAAUGCGUAGAUAUUAGGAGGAACACCAGUGGCGAAGGCGGCUUGCUGGACGACAACUGACGCUGAGGCGCGAAAGCGUGGGGAGCAAACAGGAUUAGAUACCCUGGUAGUCCACGCUGUAAACGAUGAAUACUAGGUGUGGGGGGACUGACCCCCUCCGUGCCGCAGUUAACACAAUAAGUAUUCCACCUGGGGAGUACGACCGCAAGGUUGAAACUCAAAGGAAUUGACGGGGGCCCGCACAAGCAGUGGAUUAUGUGGUUUAAUUCGACGCAACGCGAAGAACCUUACCAGGACUUGACAUCCAACUAACGAAGUAGAGAUACAUCAGGUGCCCUUCGGGGAAAGUUGAGACAGGUGGUGCAUGGUUGUCGUCAGCUCGUGACGUGAGAUGUUGGGUUAAGUCCCGCAACGAGCGCAACCCCUAUUGUUAGUUGCUACGAAAGAGCACUCUAGCGAGACUGCCGUUGACAAAACGGAGGAAGGCGGGGACGACGUCAAAUCAUCAAGCCCCUUAUGUCCUGGGCUACACACGUAAUACAAUGGUGGCCAACAGAGGGAAGCGAAGCCGUGAGGCAGAGCAAAUCCCUAAAAGCCAUCUCAGUUCGGAUUGCAGGCUGCAACUCGCCUGCAUGAAGCUGGAAUUGCUAGUAAUCGCGGAUCAGCAUGCCGCGGUGAAUACGUUCCCGGGCCUUGUACACACCGCCCGUCACACCAUGAGAGUCGGGAACACCCGAAGUCCGUAGUCUAACCGCAAGGGGGGCGCGGCCGAAGGUGGGUCCGGUAAUUGGGGUGAAGUCGUAACAAGGUA